GAUGAACGCUGGCGGCGUGCCUAAUACAUGCAAGUCGAGCGAACGGACGAGAAGCUUGCUUCUCUGAUGUUAGCGGCGGACGGGUGAGUAACACGUGGAUAACCUACCUAUAAGACUGGGAUAACUUCGGGAAACCGGAGCUAAUACCGGAUAAUAUUUUGAACCGCAUGGUUCAAAAGUGAAAGACGGUCUUGCUGUCACUUAUAGAUGGAUCCGCGCUGCAUUAGCUAGUUGGUAAGGUAACGGCUUACCAAGGCAACGAUGCAUAGCCGACCUGAGAGGGUGAUCGCCCACACUGGAACUGAGACACGGUCCAGACUCCUACGGGAGGCCGCAGUAGGGAAUCUUCCGCAAUGGGCGAAAGCCUGACGGAGCAACGCCGCGUGAGUGAUGAAGGUCUUCGGAUCGUAAAACUCUGUUAUUAGGGAAGAACAUAUGUGUAAGUAACUGUGCACAUCUUGACGGUACCUAAUCAGAAAGCCACGGCUAACUCCGUG
rnacentral:rRNA from 1 species